UACAGAGGGUGCAAGCGUUGUUCGGAAUUAUUGGGCGUAAAGCGCGUGUAGGCGGCUUUUCAAGUCGGGUGUGAAAGCCCUCAGCUCAACUGAGGAAGUGCGCCCGAAACUGCAGAGCUUGAGUGCCGGAGAGGGUGGCGGAAUUCCCCAAGUAGAGGUGAAAUUCGUAGAUAUGGGGAGGAACACCGGUGGCGAAGGCGGCCACCUGGACGGUGACUGACGCUGAGACGCGAAAGCGUGGGGAGCAAACAGG
rnacentral:rRNA from 1 species